rnacentral:rRNA from 1 species
AUUGAACGCUGGCGGCAUGCCUUACACAUGCAAGUCGAACGGCAGCACGGGUGCUUGCACCUGGUGGCGAGUGGCGAACGGGUGAGUAAUACAUCGGAACAUGUCCUGUAGUGGGGGAUAGCCCGGCGAAAGCCGGAUUAAUACCGCAUACGAUCUACGGAUGACAGCGGUGGACCUUCGGGCCUCGCGCUAUAGGGUUGGCCGAUGGCUGAUUAGCUAGUUGGUGGGGUAAAGGCCUACCAAGGCGACGAUCAGUAGCUGGUCUGAGAGGACGACCAGCCACACUGGGACUGAGACACGGCCCAGACUCCUACGGGAGGCAGCAGUGGGGAAUUUUGGACAAUGGGCGAAAGCCUGAUCCAGCAAUGCCGCGUGUGUGAAGAAGGCCUUCGGGUUGUAAAGCACUUUUGUCCGGAAAGAAAUCCUUGGCCCUAAUACGGUCGGGGGAUGACGGUACCGGAAGAAUAAGCACCGGCUAACUACGUG